rnacentral:rRNA from 2 species
GUCCUUUUGAUUUUUAUUUAAGGUCUAACCUGCCCACUGAUAUAUUUAAUGGCCGCGGUAUUUUGACCGUGCAAAGGUAGCAUAAUAAUUUGUCUUUUAAUUGAAGGCUUGUAUGAAUGGUUGGACGAGAAAAUUACUUUCUUUGUAAUAAAAUAAUUAAUUUUAUUUUUUAGUUAAAAAGCUAAAAUGUUGUUGUAGGACGAGAAGACCCUAUAGAACUUUAUAUUUGUUUUUAUAUUAACAUUUUUUGGUUAUAAUAUGUUGUAUUUUUAUAAAUAUUUUGUUGGGGCGACAAGAAAAUUUAUUUAACUUUUUUUUAUUAAUUUCAUUAAUUAAUGUAUUAAUGAUCCUAUAUUAUGGAUAAUUAGAAUAAGUUACCUUAGGGAUAACAGCGUAAUUUUUUUGGAGAGUUCUUAUCGAUAAAAAAGUUUGCGA